AGUUUAAUAGUCAAUCAAUGAUUUUAAAUUGCAAAUUUAAAGGUAAAUAAGUUUUUAAACUU
rnacentral:tRNA from 1 species